GACAGAGGGUGCAAACGUUGCUCGGAAUUACUGGGCGUAAAGCGCGUGUAGGCGGAUGCAUAAGUCGGGUGUGAAAUCCCUGGGCUCAACCUAGGAACUGCAUUCGAAACUGCGUAUCUGGAGUGAUGGAGAGGAGAGCGGAAUUCCCGGUGUAGAGGUGAAAUUCGUAGAUAUCGGGAGGAACACCAGUGGCGAAGGCGGCUCUCUGGACAUCAACUGACGCUGAGACGCGAAAGCGUGGGGAGCAAAC
rnacentral:rRNA from 1 species